rnacentral:rRNA from 1 species
UUGACGGGGCCCGCACAAGCGGUGGAGUAUGUGGUUAAUUCGAUGCAACGCGAAGAACCUUACCUGGUCUUGACAUCCCGGAGACCCUUAGGAAACUAGGGGUGCUUCCAUCUGGAAGAAUCUGGAGACAGGUGCUGCAUGGCUGUCGUCAGCUCGUGUCGUGAGAUGUUGGGUUAAGUCCCGCAACGAGCGCAACCCUUGCCUUUAGUUGCCAGCAGUUCGGCUGGGCACUCUAAAGGGACUGCCGGUGUUAAACCGGAGGAAGGUGGGGAUGACGUCAAGUCCUCAUGGCCUUUAUGACCAGGGCUACACACGUACUACAAUGGCCGAUACAAAGGGCAGCGACACUGCGAGGUGGAGCCAAUCCCGUAAAAUCGGUCUCAGUCCGGAUUGGAGUCUGCAACUCGACUCCAUGAAGUUGGAAUCGCUAGUAAUCGUGGAUCAGCAUGCCACGGUAGAAUACGUUCCCGGGCCGUU